AACGCACGAGACCUGCGGACCUGCGGAGGGAUCAUUAAUGAGAAACUGCCCCUCGCGGGUAGAUCUCCCACCCUUUGUAAACUUACCUUUGUUGCUUUGGCAGGCCCGUCCCCGGACCGCCGGCUUCGGCUGGCCAGUGCCUGCCAGAGGAUUCUAAAACUCUGUCUGUCAGUGUUGUCUGAGUCUAUAUACAAUCGUUAAAACUUUCAACAACGGAUCUCUAGAUCGGAAGAGCACACG
rnacentral:misc_RNA from 1 species